rnacentral:lncRNA from 1 species
UAAUGAUUUGCAAACAUUUCAUAUGUAAUCUUGUAUUUGUUUUUAUACUCUUCUAAUAUAGACACAAUAAUAAUCAGUUCCCAAGUCACAACAAAGUUUUAAAGUAACCAAAGAACUGCCUAGUAUCUUCUUCGAUCUUCAAAAGGCCCGCAAAUCAAAAUUAACAACACACAUAUAUACAUGCAAGAACAUAUUACAUCAUUCUCUAUAUCUAUAUUAAGAUCUUGUACAAGUAG